CAUUAUCGUCUGCUCAGCUUUUGGUACCAGAUUACCCUCUAGUCUGGAGCAGAGUUAACGGUCUUCCCAACGGUUCAGCUAUCCAAAACUACCCAUUUGACGGUAACACAAAUACAUAUCGGACUGAGUUAACCUUUGUUCCUGGAGGAUCUGACAAUGAUGUUCCUUUAUUUUGUACGGCAAGUGACGGCUUUAGUUCAAAGACAAGCUCGAUCACAAUUAGCGUCAUUUUGGUGCCGUAUACUCCAAACAUCACCGGAAACCUUACGGUCAGAGCUGGAGUUACGGACAGCUGGACGUGUGUUGUAGAUGGUGCCAGCUACAUCCC